GACUGCUCAGUAACACGUGGAUAACCUACCCUUGGGACUGGCAUAACCCCGGGAAACUGGGGAUAAUACCAGAUAGAUCAGGGAUGCUGGAAUGCACCUUGAUCCAAAGCUCAGGCGCCCAAGGAUGGAUCUGCGACCUAUCAGGUUGUAGUGGGUGUAACGUACCUACUAGCCGACGACGGGUACGGGUUGUGAGAGCAAGAGCCCGGAGAUGGAUUCUGAGACACGAAUCCAGGCCCUACGGGGUGCAGCAGGCGCGAAACCUUUACAAUGUGCGAAAGCAUGAUAAGGGAACUCCGAGUGCCAGCAUCUAAUGCUGGCUGUCCUUGUGCCUAAAACGUACAAGAUAGCAAGGGCCGGGUAAGACCGGUGCCAGCCGCCGCGGUAACACCGGCGGCCCGAGUGGUAGCCACUAUUAUUGGGUCUAAAGGGUCCGUAGCCGGUUUGGUAAGUCCUCUGGAAAAUCUGGUUGCUCAACAAUCAGACUGCCAAGGGAUACUGUCGAACUUGAGACCGGGAGAGGUAAGAGGUACUUCAGGGGUAGGAGUGAAAUCUUGUAAUCCCUGGGGGACCAUCUGUGGCGAAGGCGUCUUACCAGAACGGGUCUGACGGUGAGGGACGAAAGCUGGGGGCGCGAACCGGAUUAGAUACCCGGGUAGUCCCAGCCGUAAACGAUGCUCGCUAUGUGUCAGGUACGGUGCGACCGUAUCUGGUGCCGUAGGGAAGCCGUGAAGCGAGCCACCUGGGAAGUACGGCCGCAAGGCUGAAACUUA
rnacentral:rRNA from 1 species